rnacentral:misc_RNA from 1 species
UCCACAAUAUAUUUAUUAGCUCCAUGGAUAAAAGGACAUUAUUCAUUUCGUUUGAUAUUCAACCAUAUUCGAUAUUACAACGUCGAAAGUUGCACUCAAGAGGAGAAAGAAGUAUAGGUUAAAUACAUGGGUAAAGAUUGCUCAGUAUGGCAUCCAUUGAGCACCAACCCUGUCGCGCGGAAUUAGACGCAGUUCAGAGCCAUGUUUAAGAAAAACAUUACCAGCACUUUGUUGAGGAUUAAUACCCACUCCAUCAUUAGUGAUAAUGGCGCUAGUUUGUGGAGGUACUUUGAAUUCCUCAGCAGCAAAUUUCAGCACAGCGGUGAACGGAGCAGCUUCCGGAACGCUAAAAACUUUGAAAGGCAAUUUAGGAUCGGAAGUGAGAGUGACUUUGAACGAAACUUUUCCUCCACCACCAGUAGCACCGCCGCCGGUCGCCAUUUUUUUUCUAUCGGAGUUGCGACGGAGAAAAGCGUUACGGGAUUAGAUUUAUGGGCG